GGUUCCGCCAUUUGAAAAAAAACGUUCGUAACUGCUCAGCUGAACCCGAAGCUUGAUGAAGAAGGCCGUCAAUAUUUCAACAAAAACUAACAGAAUAUGGAUCAGAUUCGGACAACGACUUCUUAAGACAUUCACACAACAGGCUAAACAAUCCAAAGAGGGAUCUCUGGAUGAUCGAGCAGCAAGUCCAGCAUUAUGUGGGAAAGAUACUACAGGUGUACACAGAAAAGGCCAUGUUCUUGUACAAGACACGGUUGGAGUUCAUAAAAGAUUAAGCUGCCUCGUGCUAUACAGACUUGGAUAAAAACAAGCUGUCCAAUGAAUGGUGACUACUCAAGAGGAGCCAGAAAGUCAACUAAAGCCAGGGUAUUUUGGGAGUUGAUAUGGCCGGGGAAGGGGGGAGGGGGGGUUUCCAGGGCCCCCCCCCCCUUCCUUGAGAUCUUGACCGCACAAUCGCGUCUAACAUUGGCACAUGGGUUGUCUAGGGCAUAAUUUACCAAAUUAAAUUGUAAAUUAUUUCACGCAAAUUGUUAGUAAGUGAUAAUACUAAUUUAUGCGUAAUUAGAAUACAAAAUCAUACUUUUUCCUCUAUUGCAUUGACCUUGUACACAAAAUCACGUUUUUGAGCAAUUUUUGGUAUGACAUGUACUUACAUAAUGUCACGUUAUUACAGAACCACGUACCGGGUGACACAAGAUUGGUCUCAAAAGAUGCACAAGACUAGAAAGAGGCAUGUUUUAAAAAAAUUGUGCGACAGCAUGGUCGCAAAAUUUUUGGAAGGGGGGGGUCAAAUUGGUCCAAUUUAACUAAGGGUUAAUAACUGGGAGGCUGUUAGCUGCCUUUUUACUUUCAAGUCUUGCACAUCUUUUGAGACCAAAUUUGUGAUGCCUGGGUACGCUGUUCCGAAAUUUCGCAACAUUUUUAUGUAUUAAUCCAACACAAAUACUGUUUCUUGCUAAAAAUUCACAAUUAGUAUACCAGUAAUAUACAUUUAUCAAGUCAAAUUAUUUAAUUACAUUUAUAAUCAUAAAAGCUUUGAUAAAGUAUAAAAAAAAACAAAGAGUUGUAUGUAGGCCUGGGACUUUCGGGUUUUUUCUCUUCGGGUACCCGUGGUAAUUUUCGGGUGGGUACCUGAAAAUCAUGUCACUUGAAAUAUGACUGGUGGAAACACCCCAUAGGUGACGUCAUCAAGCCAAUGCGAUGCAAGCCAAUUUAUGAAUGAAAAUAUAGUAAGCAUGCGCAUUGCAAGCCUCCCGUGCCCCACGCAGUAUUCCAUCGAAACAAGUUUCAAUACUCUGUCACCUCGUACCAAAAUCGACCUAGAAUUCCACUUUCCUAUAUAUCAUAUGAAUUAUAAAAGGUUUUCUCACCGAUACUGCACAGGUAAGCAAAUUUUUAUUCUUGCUUUUCCGUCAAAAUCUUACGAAGUAGCAUCGAUAUUACAUCGUGUUCGUGAGUUUGUAUCGCUACGUGAACAAAGUCAAUUGAUUUCCGGGUUUCGGAGCGUCAAAUGCGCCAGCCAAUCACGAUCGUGUUCCCAUUUUCGGUUUAUGAUGAACUAAAAAUGGUAACAAGAACGUGAUUGGCUGGUGCUUCGUAGGUCGAUUUUGGUAUGAGGUGACAGAGUAUUGCAGACUUGUUUUGACGUAAUACUGCGUGGGGCUGAGGCUUGCAAUGCGCAUGCUUACUAAGCCUGAGUCGAAUCGAUUUUAAAAUCGAUGUUCGAUCGAUGUCAUCGAACGCCGGUGCAGAUUUUGCAAAAUCGGUGCAUCGAAAAAAAAAAAAAAAUACGUCGGCUGGCCGAUUCAUUUGGUUCACACAAUCAGACAUCAAAAUAAACAGUAAUAUCCAACUUGACUACUACUUACUUCAUUUAUAUUGCCCCCAAAAUGAAACCGAUUGUGUAAUUAUGAUGCCUAUUCACCAUUAAUUUGAAGUUUAUUUUGAUCAUAGUUCUAGUCUUACUCGUCUGCCCGGCUCGUCUGCUUGUGCCGAGAUAAUUUAUGCACGAUGACUUUAUGAAUGGAAGUCGCCAUUCAUCGUGCAUGCGCAGUACCGUACUGUCAAUCAAAUCAGAAAAUGGCCGGAAAAUUGAUGCGAUCAACGUAAAGUAUAUCUUGCUUUUCAUGAACAAUAUUAAUAUCAUGACCAUAGAACAUGAUUUAAUCGUAAUAUUUAACAAUAAUUUGCAUAUGAUAAUCAUUAAUAUGAACUUAGAGCUUGAUGUGAAACGUUUGUAUUUCGUUUAAAUUUUCAAUGGCGGACAUCACAUGACGAUCGACUUGAGUGAGUGCACUUGUCUAAGAAAAUAAUUAUCACGUUAGGAUUGAUUAUCGAACAUUGUCAACAUGUAGAAACUCUCUUGAAGAUCAUAAUAUCACCAUAUAAUAAUAUUUUACAUGACAAAACAGAGAAAAAUUACGUUUGAUUUUUUUCCCAUCAAUAUGAAGCUUGUUUGUGCCCAACUUUGGGCUCUGAUUUCAUGAAUGGAAAAUAUGUCAGACGUCAUCGAACGCGCAUGCGCAUUGUGCUUCUUUUCUCGGAGCCGGAGCUCGGAGACGUCCAGAGAUGGAAUAAAAAAUAAAAAUAAUGCCAGUAUAAUACUAUUAAUUCUUCCAUAUGAACAUAACAUACUUUGCUGACAUCGUCAAUACUUUUAGUAUGGCCAUAAAAUCUUAUUAAAUCGUAAUUAUUUAACAUCCAAUAAUAAUUUAUAUUAAUUUAGAGCUCGAUCCAAGAAUUCGUAUUUAUUUCGAUCACAAAGCUCUUGUGUCUAAAAAAAAUGGAUUAUCAUUAUCAGGAUUAAAUCUCGAACAUCGCCAGAACUCAUAUUCCACAAUCUUUCCUCACAAUCGUUAUAUCAGCAUUGAAUACCAAUUCAAAUGACCAUCCAGAGAAAAUUACGUAUUUAUUCCCAUCAAUUUAUUUGGAGCUAAUUUUGGAUCUAACUACCCCGCCAACUACACAAUCUCAGGCAAGUUACAACGCUCUCCCCGCUGUUUGCACUUGUUAGAUGGCGCUGGCAAGCACGCCUGUCGUUUCGGGAGAGUGAGUGUACGGGGCUGGUGUGUGCGAGUCUGGACUGCGAAUGCUAGUUGACCGAAAAUCAUUCGGAUCGACUCUGCGUGAUUCAUGUCUUUAAUAUUGUUUCAUUUUAAACUUAUAUCUUAUCAUCUGCAGAUAUCAUGGUUGAAGAUAUUUUGGGAAGAAUUCUGCAUUGCUCCCCGGCCUUUUUUGUGUUUUGUGAUCAUGGAAAAUACAAACGAACUUUGCUCUGUCAUUUGCUUUUGCAACGCUCACCCGGCCAGCGCAGACCGUUAGUGCAUGUAGUGCAUGCAUAGCGCAUGCAUCGACGGCCGGCCGGAGCCAAAAAAAGACUCGAUUUUCCCCGCCUUCAAAUUUCGAUGCAUCGAUGUUCGAUCGAAUUAAAGCUGUCGAACACCGGUUUUCAAAAUAAUCGAUAUGACUCAGGCUUAAUGCUUACUAUAUUUUCAUUCAUAAAUUGGUUUGCGUCGCAGUGGCUGGAUGACGUCACUGCGCUGCAAAAGAAACAUGGCGAUGAUUGAACGAUCUCGGUCACAUCAUCAUCACUUGAAAACUUGUAUAUUUAUGGAUAUUUAGAGGGUAAUUGGUGAAAUUCAAAAUGAGGCUUGUGUACUUUUGUAAUGAGUUACAAUCAUGUCUUACACUAUGCAAUACAAAUCAAAUACAUGUACAUUAUACUGGUGAGCAAUUUUCGGGUAUCGGGUAUUGAUUUUUCUACUCGGGUACCCGGGUUUUAGUCCCAGCCCUAGUUGUAUGAAAAUUUUCAAAAAUAAUGAAAGGUAAAAGAAAACAAGAUUACAAUGUCCAUUGCAAGGGGGCUAGUCUAGCUAUUCAGGAUAAUUGGGAUUUUAUUCAGUUUUUAAUUGACAUAACAUUAUGACAAGAUCCCUCCAGUUAGUGUAUAAACAGCACAUGGCCAUGAUUGAAAUUCAUAUAACAUUAAAGUAUGCAAACCAGGCAGCUACAUGUACAUGUAGGACUCACUGCUUGUCAAUUCUAUUGUCUGCCAGGGUCAAGUGACAUACAGUGCACAUGUAUAACAUGUGUGAAAGUACAUAAGAAAAUCAGCUUUUUAUUUUUGUACUGUAACAUUGGGUGAACUGGUGAUCACUUUGGAUAUGAUGCUCUUCAUAUUGGUUUAUUUUAUGUAUAUGAAUUUUUGGAUAAUCAUUAAGAAUUAAAGCCAUUUACUUAAUAUAUGGAAGCAUAAGCCCAUCAAAGAACAGAAUUAUGUCAUGUACAGCUAAUUCAUUUUGCGUGAUAUUACAAUUGUAAUUGUUUACUUGAGCAAGUAAUUUGAAUUGCUGCAUGACCUAAACAAUGACAUGUUCCAAUUCGAAUAGUAACAUGACCUAAAGAAGAGUUACUCCACCUCGAUUGAGAGUGCUUAUGUUAAAUAAUUGAUGUUGCUACUUCAAAUAAUUGAGGUCAAUCAAAUUGGUCAUAAUUAUUCAAGUCAAUUUUGAGCUAUAUGUCAUAAUUAAUUAGGUCAUAUACUAAUUGAAAUUACUAAAUGACUCGAGUAGGUAUGAAUUCACAUUGCCACAUGACCUUAAUUAUUUUAUGUAGCAACAUCAAGUAUUGAACGUCAUUUAGUUAUCAAUUAUGACAUGUAGCAAAUCAAAUUACAUGCCGCAAUUUCGUGUUUAUGAUGGGCUCAUGCUUACAUUCAUAUAUAACCCUUCAAUACGUAGUUGGAGCAAUUCUUAGACAAGAAGACUGUGUAAAAUGAUAUGCCUAUUCAAUGUCAAAAAGGUUAAUGUCUCAAUAGAUUUGAUCUACGUUUUGGCAAAGUAAUCUUAUGUAAAUAUUUUUUCUAACCUAUGGUGAACGUUCUAAAUCAUGUGAAAUUCAUUCAAAAAUAUCUUUCAGUAUUUAUGGACUUAAGUGAAUUCUGAGCAAAAUGAAGUGAUUAUGAUUACGUUCAUGUACUUUAAGUUUAUACUGGUGAUCAACACAUCAUAAUUUCAUCCCUUACUGUAUGUGCACCAUGCAUUAUCUGUACAUGCAGAAGUGGUUAUCCAUUGUUUCAUAACAUGGUUGAGUAAAGGAUGUUCUGCUUUUAGUAUUAAGCCAAUCGGGUGUUGACAAGAAGGGGAAAAUGCAAUUGCUCAGCUAUUACAGUUUUUUUUGCAACCAUAAUACUGGUUAAGCCUUGGUUACAUUCGCCGGCUCGUGGCCUUACGUCGAGUCAAAAUUAACAGUCUUAAUCAUCCUUGUACCAGCUACUACCAGCUACACGUGGGUGGUUUGUACAGGAAUACCUAAAACUGCUGAUUUUGUCUCGCCGUAAGGCAACCGGUCAAGGAAUGUGACCAAGGUAUUAAUAAUAAUCGCUUAUUGUUGUGUUAGAGGGAAGGAUUCUGGGUCGAAUCUAGCUUUCUUUAUGUGAUCUCAAAAUGGCAGCAAUGUAUGAAUAGUGAAAGUAGUUCAUGUGGCAUCUCAAUGUUCAUGGAUAUAAAUCUUUGUACAUGUCUUAUCCUAAAGAUGAAAUGUUACUGCAUUAUUCUAGCAGUCAUUUAUGAUAUCAAAGAUGUUCUAUACUGUGCAUAGUACAGCUCAUACAUAAUAAAGGUAUGUGAAUAUGCUUUUAA